CCUACGGGGGGCAGCAGUGGGGAAUAUUGCUCAAUGGGCGAAACCCUGAAGCAGCAACGCCGCGUGGAGGAUGAAGGCCUUCGGAGUGUAAACUCCUUUUUUUAGAGAAGAUAAUGACGGUAUCUAACGAAUAAGCACCGGCUAACUCCGUUCCAGCUGCCGCGGUUAUACGGAGGGUGCAAGCGUUACUCGGAAUGACUGGGCGUAAAGCGCGCGUAGGCGGGAUAGCAAGUCAGAUGUGAAACCCUAGGGCUUAACCGUAGAACUGCAUUUGAAACUGUUAUUCUUGAGUGUGGGAGAGGUAGGUGGAAUUCGUGGUGUAGGGGUGAAAUGCGUAGAGAUCAAGAGGAAUACUGAUUGCGAAGGCGACCUGCUGGAACGUAACUGACGCUGAUGCGCGAAAGCGUGGGGAGCAAACAGGAUUAGAUACCCGAGUAGUC
rnacentral:rRNA from 1 species